rnacentral:misc_RNA from 1 species
GAUGAAGAACGUAGCGAAAUGCGAUAAGUAAUGUGAAUUGCAGAAUUCAGUGAAUCAUCGAAUCUUUGAACGCACAUUGCACUCAUUAGUAUUCUAGUGAGUAUGCCUGUUCGAGCGUCAUUUCAACCCUUAAGCCUAGCUUAGUGUUGGGACUCUACCCUAACCGGUAGUUCCCCAAAAUCAGUUGGCGGAGUUCAGUCGGCUCUGAGUGUAGUAAUUUUCUCUCGCUUUAGAAGUCUUCUGGAUUACGGCCAGAAAGAGACGAGUCUCGCAUCUCGGUGCGUUUCUCAACUUUUUUUUACAAUGGUUGACCUCGGAUCAGGUAGGAAUACCCGCUGAACUUAAGCAUAUCAAAAGCGGAGGA